rnacentral:rRNA from 1 species
CGGGAAACUGGGGAUAAUACUCUAUAGGCUAUGGAUGCUGGAAUGCUUCGUAGUUGAAAGGUGAGCCGCCGUAGGAUGGGUCUGCGGCCGAUUAGGUUGUUGUUGGGGUAACGGCCCAACAAGCCUGUAAUCGGUACGGGUUGUGGGAGCAAGAGCCCGGAGAUGGAUUCUGAGACACGAAUCCAGGCCCUACGGGGCGCAGCAGGCGCGAAAACUUUACAAUGCGGGAAACCGUGAUAAGGGAACUCUGAGUGCCCGUAAAAUCGGGCUGUCCAUUUGUUUAAAAAACAAGUGAAGAAAGGGCCGGGCAAGACCGGUGCCAGCCGCCGCGGUAACA